UCGCGUCGAACGAACUCUGGUAUUGAUUGGUGCUUGCAUCAUGAUUUACAUUUGAGUGAGUGGCGAACUGGUGAGUAACACGUGGGAAACCUGCCCAGAAGCGGGGGAUAACACCUGGAAACAGAUGCUAAUACCGCAUAACAACUUGGACCGCAUGGUCCGAGUUUGAAAGAUGGCUUCGGCUAUCACUUUUGGAUGGUCCCGCGGCGUAUUAGCUAGAUGGUGGGGUAACGGCUCACCAUGGCAAUGAUACGUAGCCGACCUGAGAGGGUAAUCGGCCACAUUGGGACUGAGACACGGCCCAAACUCCUACGGGAGGCAGCAGUAGGGAAUCUUCCACAAUGGACGAAAGUCUGAUGGAGCAACGCCGCGUGAGUGAAGAAGGGUUUCGGCUCGUAAAACUCUGUUGUUAAAGAAGAACAUAUCUGAGAGUAACUGUUCAGGUAUUGACGGUAUUUAACCAGAAAGCCACGGCUAACUACGUGCCAGCAGCCGCGGUAAUACGUAGGUGGCAAGCGUUGUCCGGAUUUAWUGGGCGUAAAGCGAGCGCAGGCGGUUUUUUAAGUCUGAUGUGAAAGCCUUCGGCUCAACCRAAGAAAGUGCAUCGGAAACUGGGAAACUUGAGUGCAGAAGAGGACAGUGGAACUCCCAUGUGUAGCGGUGAAAUGCGUAGAUAUAUGGAAGAACACCAGUGGCGAAGGCGGCUGUCUGGUCUGUAACUGACGCUGAGGCUCGAAAGUAUGGGUAGCAAACAGGAUUAGAUACCCUGGUAGUCCAUACCGUAAACGAUGAAUGCUAAGUGUUGGAGGGUUUCCGCCCUUCAGUGCUGCAGCUAACGCAUUAAGCAUUCCGCCUGGGGAGUACGCCGCAAGGCUGAAACUCAAAGGAAUUGACGGGGGCCCGCACAAGCGGUGGAGCAUGUGGUUUAAUUCGAAGCUACGCGAAGAACCUUACCAGGUCUUGACAUACUAUGCAAAUCUAAGAGAUUAGACGUUCCCUUCGGGGACAUGGAUACAGGUGGUGCAUGGUUGUCGUCAGCUCGUGUCGUGAGAUGUUGGGUUAAGUCCCGCAACGAGCGCAACCCUUAUUAUCAGUUGCCAGCAUUAAGUUGGGCACUCUGGUGAGACUGCCGGUGACAAACCGGAGGAAGGUGGGGAUGACGUCAAAUCAUCAUGCCCCUUAUGACCUGGGCUACACACGUGCUACAAUGGAUGGUACAACGAGUUGCGAACUCGCGAGAGUAAGCUAAUCUCUUAAAGCCAUUCUCAGUUCGGAUUGUAGGCUGCAACUCGCCUACAUGAAGUCGGAAUCGCUAGUAAUCGCGGAUCAGCAUGCCGCGGUGAAUACGUUCCCGGGCCUUGUACACACCGCCCGUCACACCAUGAGAGUUUGUAACACCCAAAGUCGGUGGGGUAACCUUUUAGGAACCAGCCG
rnacentral:rRNA from 1 species